AGUGAACGCUGGCGGCAGGCCUAACACAUGCAAGUCGAGCGGCAGCGCGUCCGACCACCCUCGGGUGGUCGGAUGGCGGCGAGCGGCGGACGGGUGAGGAAUGCAUCGGAAUCUGCCUCGUUGUGGGGGAUAACGUAGGGAAACUUACGCUAAUACCGCAUACGACCUACGGGUGAAAGUGGGGGACCUUCGGGCCUCACGCGAUGAGAUGAGCCGAUGCCGGAUUAGCUAGUUGGCGGGGUAAAGGCCCACCAAGGCGACGAUCCGUAGCUGGUCUGAGAGGAUGAUCAGCCACACUGGAACUGAGACACGGUCCAGACUCCUACGGGAGGCAGCAGUGGGGAAUAUUGGACAAUGGGGGCGAACCCUGAUCCAGCCAUGCCGCGUGAGUGAAG
rnacentral:rRNA from 1 species